GAUGAACGCUGGCGGCGUGCCUAAUACAUGCAAGUCGAGCGAACAGAUAAGGAGCUUGCUCCUUUGACGUUAGCGGCGGACGGGUGAGUAACACGUGGAUAACCUACCUAUAAGACUGGGAUAACUUCGGGAAACCGGAGCUAAUACCGGAUAACAUAUUGAACCGCAUGGUUCAAUAGUGAAAGGCGGCUUUGCUGUCACUUAUAGAUGGAUCCGCGCCGUAUUAGCUAGUUGGUAAGGUAACGACUUACCAAGGCAACGAUACGUAGCCGACCUGAGAGGGUGAUCGGCCACACUGGAACUGAGACACGGUCCAGACUCCUACGGGAGGCAGCAGUAGGGAAUCUUCCGCAAUGGGCGAAAGCCUGACGGAGCAACGCCGCGUGAGUGAUGAAGGUCUUCGGAUCGUAAAACUCUGUUAUCAGGGAAGAACAAAUGUGUAAGUAACUGUGCACAUCUUGACGGUACCUGAUCAGAAAGCCACGGCUAACUACGUG
rnacentral:rRNA from 1 species